UACGUAGGGCGCAAGCGUUGUCCGGAAUUAUUGGGCGUAAAGAGCUCGUAGGCGGUCUGUCGCGUCUGUUGUGAAAACUCGAGGCUCAACCUCGGGCUUGCAGUGGAUACGGGCAGACUAGAGUGCGGUAGGGGAGACUGGAAUUCCUGGUGUAGCGGUGGAAUGCGCAGAUAUCAGGAGGAACACCAAUGGCGAAGGCAGCACUCUGGGACGUGACUGACGCUGAGACGCGAAAGCGUGGGAGCAAACAGG
rnacentral:rRNA from 1 species